UACGGGGGGGGCAAGCGUUGUUCGGAAUUACUGGGCGUAAAGGGCUCGUAGGCGGCCAACUAAGUCGGAUGUGAAAUCCCCAGGCUUAACCUGGGAACUGCAUCCGAUACUGGAUGGCUUGAAUUCGGGAGAGGGAUGCAGAAUUCCAGGUGUAGCGGUGAAAUGCGUAGAUAUGCGGAGGAACACCGAUGGCGAAGGCAGCCUCCUGGGAUAACACUGACGCUCAUGCACGAAAGCGUGGGGAGCAAACAGG
rnacentral:rRNA from 1 species